CGCUGCUUGAUGGCAGCGUGAACUAAAAGCCAAGCUUGUGCGCAUGCGUGCUGAAGUACUUCCUUUCCAGUCCAGCAAGCAAGACUAAGAGCGAAGAUUUGAAUUGGAAAUCGAACUAUUUCACUGCAAAGAAAACCAUCGACGUCCAUAAAGAUUCAGAAAUUGGAGACAGUGGAGGAACUACUCGACCUUGACGAGUUGAUAAAAACUUAACCAAGCAAGAAAGAUUUGCUGACAGCCAGGCUCUCAAAGGUUGGUGGAUAUGACUUAAAGAGCUGUUUAAGCACCAUCAUGGACAGCUAGUGUCUUGGAUACACAGAAGGGGACCGAAACGAUGGUCCAUGAUGCCAUAAAAAAUAAACUGAAAUAUGCCCCUGGACGGAAGGGAGGAAUAGGAUGGGCAUCACAGGCUAAAUAAAUAAUUAUAUCGAU